rnacentral:rRNA from 1 species
GAUGUACGCUGGCGGCGUGCCUAAUACAUGCAAGUCGAGCGAACAGAUAAGGAGCUUGCUCCUUUGACGUUAGCGGCGGACGGGUGAGUAACACGUGGGUAACCUACCUAUAAGACUGGGAUAACUUCGGGAAACCGGAGCUAAUACCGGAUAACAUUUGGAACCGCAUGGUUCUAAAGUGAAAGAUGGUUUUGCUAUCACUUAUAGAUGGACCCGCGCCGUAUUAGCUAGUUGGUAAGGUAACGGCUUACCAAGGCAACGAUACGUAGCCGACCUGAGAGGGUGAUCGGCCACACUGGAACUGAGACACGGUCCAGACUCCUACGGGAGGCAGCAGUAGGGAAUCUUCCGCAAUGGGCGAAAGCCUGACGGAGCAACGCCGCGUGAGUGAUGAAGGGUUUCGGCUCGUAAAACUCUGUUAUUAGGGAAGAACAAACGUGUAAGUAACUGUGCACGUCUUGACGGUACCUAAUCAGAAAGCCACGGCUAACUACGUG